rnacentral:rRNA from 1 species
UACGUAGGGUGCGAGCGUUAAUCGGAAUUACUGGGCGUAAAGCGUGCGCAGGCGGUUUUGUAAGCCAGAUGUGAAAUCCCCGGGCUUAACCUGGGAAUGGCAUUUGGGACUGCAAGGCUGGAGUGUGGCAGAGGAGACUGGAAUUCCCGGUGUAGCAGUGAAAUGCGUAGAUAUCGGGAGGAACACCGGUGGCGAAGGCGGUUCUCUGGGCCUUACCUGACGCUGAGGAGCGAAAGCGUGGGGAGCGAACAGG